rnacentral:rRNA from 1 species
AUUGAACGCUGGCGGCAGGCCUAACACAUGCAAGUCGAGCGGUAGAGAGGUGCUUGCAUCUCUUGAGAGCGGCGGACGGGUGAGUAAUGCCUAGGAAUCUGCCUAGUGGUGGGGGAUAAACGUUCGGAAACGGACGCUAAUACCGCAUACGUCCUACGGGAGAAAGCGGGGGGUCGCAAGACCUCGCGCGAUUGGAGCGGCCGAUAUCAGAUUAGGUAGUUGGUGAGGUAAAGGCUCACCAAGGCGACGAAUCCGUAACUGGUCUGAGAGGAUGAUCAGUCACACUGGAACUGAGACACGGUCCAGACUCCUACGGGAGGCAGCAGUGGGGAAUAUUGGACAAUGGGC